GGGAGGGCAGUGGGAGAAGUCGGAAGAUUUGGAAGGGGGGUCGUCUGUGACCAGCGCCUCACUUUCCUCUGAUCUGUCUGAAGCAUUCUGCUGAAGAUGAGGGUGAACGUCCUCCAGGGAGAAUCACUGGACAUUGGAGGGUCUCCUACUCAAUCUCCUGAUAUUCCAGAUGUGAAAAAAGACCCAGAGAGCUCCAGCAGCUGGCUCAAUGCCACACAUGAGGCUUGAACUCAUGACCCUGAGAUUAAGCAUCCCAUGCUCUACUGACUGAGCCAGAUAGGCAGCCCCAGCAGAUGGAAAUCGAAAGAACCAGAGGAAGAUAAAACGACUGGCCCAAGGUCACAUGGUGAGUCUUAGCCCGAAUCCCUCCUUGUCCAAAAAGGUGUUUCUGCCUUUCUAUCCCAUACUAACUUCUCAGCCC
rnacentral:lncRNA from 1 species